CCAAAAGAUAAUCUUUCAACUCGAAAGAUCUUUUCCUUUGUGCUGGCUUUGACCGUAUGUAAUUUUGGGACUUAAACAUGGUAAAGCCUUAUGGUUUGGCCGGUCCCAAAAACAAUAUAUCAUCCUUAUGAAAAACUUACUGAACAACUAAACAAUGAUUUUAAUAA
rnacentral:misc_RNA from 1 species